GGGCGUGAGAGCGCGAUCCCCCACAAUGGAACUGACACACGGUCCAUACUCCUACGGGAUGCAGCAGUGAGGAAUAUUGCGCAAUGGGGGCAACCCUGACGCAGCAACGCCGCGUGGACGAUGAAGGCCUUCGGGUUGUAAAGUCCUUCUCUGAAGGACGAUAGUGACGGUACUUCAGGAAUAAGUCCCGGCUAACUACGUGCCAGCAUCCGCGGUAAAACGUAUGGGGCGAGCGUUAUCCUGAUUUAGUGGGCGUCAAGUGCACGUAGGCGGCAUCGUAACUCGGACGUGAAAGCUCCCGGCUCAACUGGGAGAGGUCGUACAGAACUGAGGUGCUUGAGGUUGAUAGAGGAGAGUGGGAUUCCCGGUGUCGUGGUUGAAUGCGUAGAUAUCGGGAGGAACAGCAGUGGUGAAGGCGGCUCUCUAGCGUCACACCUGACGCUGAGGUCUGAAAGCGUGGGGAGCGAACGGGAUUUAGAUACCCCGGUAAGUCCACGCUUGUAAACGAUGGAUACUAGGUCUGGGAGGUUAUUUACCCCUUUUGUGCCCGUUAACUCACGCGUUAAGUAUCACCGCCUGGGGACUACGCCAGCAAGGUUGCAACUCAAAGGAAUUGACGGGGGCCCGCACAAGCAGCGGAGCGUCUGGUUUAAUUAGAUGAUACGCGAAGAACCUUACCUGGGAUUGACAUGAUGGUAGUAGUGAAG
rnacentral:rRNA from 1 species